UAACACAUGCAAGUCGAGGGGCAGCAUGAAGUUUGCUUGCAAACUUUGAUGGCGACCGGCGCACGGGUGAGUAACGCGUAUCCAACCUUCCCUAUAGUAGAGAAUAGCCCGGCGAAAGUCGGAUUAAUGCUCUAUGUUAUUCAAAGCGGACAUCUAAUUUGAAUCAAAGGUUCACCGCUAUAGGAUGGGGGUGCGUCUGAUUAGCUUGAUGGCGGGGUAACGGCCCACCAUGGCGACGAUCAGUAGGGGUUCUGAGAGGAAGGUCCCCCACAUUGGAACUGAGACACGGUCCAAACUCCUACGGGAGGCAGCAGUGAGGAAUAUUGGUCAAUGGGCGAGAGCCUGAACCAGCCAAGUAGCGUGCAGGAUGACGGCCCUAUGGGUUGUAAACUGCUUUUAUGCGGGGAUAAAGUCGGCUACGCGUAGCCGUUUGUAGGUACCGCAUGAAUAAGGACCGGCUAAUUCCGUGCCAGCAGCCGCGGUAAUACGGAAGGUCCGGGCGUUAUCCGGAUUUAUUGGGUUUAAAGGGAGCGCAGGCCGGAGGUCAAGCGUGACGUGAAAUGUAGCCGCUCAACGGCUGAGUUGCGUCGCGAACUGGUUUCCUUGAGUGAGUACGACGUCAGCGGAAUUCGUGGUGUAGCGGUGAAAUGCUUAGAUAUCACGAAGAACCCCGAUUGCGAAGGCAGCUGACGAGUCCUUUACUGACGCUAAAGCUCGAAGGUGCGGGUAUCGAACAGGAUUAGAUACCCUGGUAGUCCGCACGGUAAACGAUGGAUGCCCGCUGUUUGCGAUAUAUUGUAAGCGGCCAAGCGAAAGCGUUAAGCAUCCCACCUGGGGAGUACGCCGGCAACGGUGAAACUCAAAGGAAUUGACGGGGGCCCGCACGAGCGGAGGAACAUGUGGUUUAAUUCGAUGAUACGCGAGGAACCUUACCCGGGCUUGAACUGCAGGAGAACGAUCCAGAGAUGGUGAGGCCCUUCGGGGCUCCUGUGGAGGUGCUGCAUGGUUGUCGUCAGCUCGUGCCGUGAGGUGUCGGCUUAAGUGCCAUAACGAGCGCAACCCCUUUCGCCAGUUGCCAUCAGGUGAUGCUGGGCACUC
rnacentral:rRNA from 1 species